rnacentral:rRNA from 1 species
UACGUAGGGUGCGAGCGUUGUCCGGAUUUAUUGGGCGUAAAGAGCUCGUAGGCGGUUUGUCGCGUCGUUUGUGAAAACCCGGGGCUCAACCCUGAGCUUGCAGUGGGUACGGGCAGACUAGAGUGCGGUAGGGGAGACUGGAAUUCCUGGUGUAGCGGUGAAAUGCGCAGAUAUCAGGAGGAACACCGAUGGCGAAGGCAGGUCUCUGGGCCACUACUGACGCUGAGAAGCGAAAGCAUGGGGAGCGAGCAGG